rnacentral:rRNA from 1 species
GUGGGGAAUUUUGGACAAUGGGCGCAAGCCUGAUCCAGCCAUGCCGCGUGCAGGAUGAAGGCCUUCGGGUUGUAAACUGCUUUUGUACGGAACGAAAAAGCUCUCUCUAAUACAGGGGGUGAAUGACGGUACCGUAAGAAUAAGCACCGGCUAACUACGUGCCAGCAGCCGCGGUAAUACGUAGGGUGCAAGCGUUAAUCGGAAUUACUGGGCGUAAAGCGUGCGCAGGCGGUUAUGUAAGACAGAGGUGAAAUCCCCGGGCUCAACCUGGGAACUGCCUUUGUGACUGCAUAGCUGGAGUGCGGCAGAGGGGGAUGGAAUUCCGCGUGUAGCAGUGAAAUGCGUAGAUAUGCGGAGGAACACCGAUGGCGAAGGCAAUCCCCUGGGCCUGCACUGACGCUCAUGCACGAAAGCGUGGGGAGCAAACAGGAUUAGAAACCCCAGUAGUCC